UCCCUGGUGGCCUAGUGGUUAAAGACUUGGCAUUGUCACUGCUGGGGUUCAGGUUCAUUCCCUGGCUAGGGAA
rnacentral:tRNA from 1 species